rnacentral:rRNA from 1 species
CCUACGGGAGGCAGCAGUGAGGAAUAUUGGUCAAUGGACGAGAGUCUGAACCAGCCAAGUAGCGUGAAGGAUGACUGCCCUAUGGGUUGUAAACUUCUUUUAUAUGGGAAUAAAAUGUUCCACGUGUGGGAUUUUGUAUGUACCCUAUGAAUAAGGAUCGGCUAACUCCGUGCCAGCAGCCGCGGUAAUCCGGAGGAUCCGAGCGUUAUCCGGAUUUAUUGGGUUUAAAGGGAGCGUAGGUGGAUUGUUAAGUCAGUUGUGAAAGUUUGCGGCUCAACCGUAAAAUUGCAGUUGAAACUGGCAGUCUUGAGUACAGUAGAGGUGGGCGGAAUUCGUGGUGUAGCGGUGAAAUGCUUAGAUAUCACGAAGAACUCCGAUUGCGAAGGCAGUUCACUGGACUGCAACUGACACUGAGGCUCGAAAGUGUGGGUAUCAAACAGGAUUAGAUACCCCUGUAGUC